rnacentral:rRNA from 1 species
GACGAACGCUGGCGGCGUGCUUAACACAUGCAAGUCGAACGGUAAGGCCCUUCGGGGUACACGAGUGGCGAACGGGUGAGUAACACGUGGGUGAUCUGCCCUGCACUUCGGGAUAAGCCUGGGAAACUGGGUCUAAUACCGGAUAGGACCACUGCCUGCAUGGGUGGUGGGGGAAAGCUUUUGCGGUGUGGGAUGGGCCCGCGGCCUAUGCGCUUGUUGGUGGGGUGAUGGCCUCCCAAGGCGACGUCGGGUAGCCGGCCUGAGAGGGUGACCGGCCACACUGGGACUGAGAUACGGCCCAGACUCCUACGGGAGGCAGCAGUGGGGAAUAUUGCACAAUGGGCGCAAGCCUGAUGCAGCGACGCCGCGUAAGGGAUGACGGCCUUCGGGUUGUAAACCUCUUUCAGCACCGACGAAGCGCAAGUGACGGUAGGUGCAGAAGAAGGACCGGCCAACUACGUGCCAGCCGCCGCAGUAA